rnacentral:rRNA from 1 species
GUUGAACGCUGGCGGAAUGCUUUACACAUCCAAGUCGAACGGCAGCACGGACUUCGGUCUGGUGGCGAGUGGCGAACGGGUGAGUAAUGUAUCGGAACGUGCCCAGUCGUGGGGGAUAACGUAGUGAAAAUUACGCUAAUACCGCAUACGAUCUAUGGAUGAAAGCGGGGGAUCGCAAGACCUCGCGCGAUUGGAGCGGCCGAUAUCAGAUUAGGUAGUUGGUGGGGUAAAGGCCCACCAAGCCAACGAUCUGUAGCUGGUCUGAGAGGACGACCCGCCACACUGGAACGGAGACACGGUCCAGACUCCUACGGGAGGCAGCAGUGGGGAAUUUUGGACAAUGGGCGAAAGCCUGAUCCAGCCAUUCCGCGUGCAGGAUGAAGGCCCUCGGGUUGUAAACUGCUUUUGUACAGAACGAAAAGGUUUCUACUAAUACUAGGAGCUCAUGACGGUACUGUAAGAAUAAGCACCGGCUAACUACGUGCCAGCCGCCGCAGUAA